rnacentral:rRNA from 1 species
AUGAUAUCCACUGUUGAAGGGGGCCACUUGGAAGGUUAUCUCUUCGGAUCGAUAAUUCUCCGGUGUGCCGAAUACCAUGUCGAGUGUGAUUUUUCCCGCGCACCGCGCCUCCCAACCAGGAAUGAUUCCUCGGAAGGUCGUGCUACUUUGCUCAAUGCGGCCCCUGUCUAUUUCCAUUUUGUUGAGAGUUUCCUCGUAAAUGAGGUUGAGUCCGCCGCCGCCGUCCAUGAGCACUUUGGUAACCCGAAAGCCGUCCAUGAUUGGACUGAAGACCAAGGCGGCUGGUGCCCGGACUGUCUUGAAUUUUGGUUCGUCACCGGCAUUGAAAGUUAUGGCCGUGUCGUCCGAGGGGUUUAUUGCCGCGACUUGGCAGACUUCAGCGAGGCCACCGAGUGCCCUUUUGCGCCUAUUGUUUGA